UACGGGGGGAGCAAGCGUUGUUCGGAUUUACUGGGCGUAAAGGGCGCGUAGGCGGUCACUACAAGUCAGUUGUGAAAUCUCUGGGCUUAACUCAGAACGGUCAACUGAUACUGUCGGACUAGAGUGCAGAAGGGGCAACUGGAAUUCUCGGUGUAGCGGUGAAAUGCGUAGAUAUCGAGAGGAACACCUGCGGCGAAGGCGGGUUGCUGGGCUGACACUGACGCUGAGGCGCGAAAGCGUGGGUAGCAAACAGG
rnacentral:rRNA from 1 species